CCCUCCAUUUUGAAAUAAAAUUCGCAGCUUGAUCAGAACCCUUUGUCUUGCUGCCGUUCUUUCGCGCCUCCUGUCCCAUCCCUCUUCAUCCGUUACAGGGAGACGGCCGGCUCACCGCGACUGCCCGCCCGCGCGCCAGCAUUCCCCGACGAGCCCCCCGUUCCCCGACAGCGGCAUCUCAGAGGUGAGGCCCAACCAUGGGACAGGCAUGCUCACAGCGUGAUUUAUUCGUUGGUCAGUUGAAAGAAUCUCUCAAGGUGCGUAAGAUAAGGGUUCCUAAAAAAGACUUAAAUUCCUUUUUCACUUUCGUUUUUAAAAUCUGCCCCUGGUUUCCUCAGGAGGGUAGCAUUGACUCCCGCGUCUGGCACCGUGUGGGCGACUGUCUAAAUGACUAUUAUAAAGUCCUUGGUACCGAGACUGUCCCUGUAACUGCCUUUAACUAUUACAACCUCAUAACAGACAUCCUUAAAA